UACGUAGGGUGCGAGCGUUAAUCGGAAUUACUGGGCGUAAAGCGUGCGCAGGCGGUUUUGUAAGCCAGAUGUGAAAGCCCGGGCUCCAACCUGGGAAUGGCAUUUGGGACUGCAAGGCUUGAGUGCGGCAGAGGAGACUGGAAUUCCUGGUGUAGCAGUGAAAUGCGUAGAUAUCAGGAGGAAUACCGAUGGCGAAGGCAGGUCUCUGGG
rnacentral:rRNA from 1 species